rnacentral:rRNA from 1 species
AUUGAACGCUGGCGGCAGGCUUAACACAUGCAAGUCGAGCGGGGAAAGGUAGCUUGCUACUUGACCUAGCGGCGGACGGGUGAGUAAUGCUUAGGAAUCUGCCUAUUAGUGGGGGACAACAUCUCGAAGGGGAUGCUAAUACCGCAUACGUCCUACGGGAGAAAGCAGGGGACCUUCGGGCCUUGCGCUAAUAGAUGAGCCUAAGUCGGAUUAGCUAGUUGGUGGGGUAAAGGCCUACCAAGGCGACGAUCUGUAGCGGGUAUGAGAGGAUGAUCCGCCACACUGGGACUGAGACACAGCCCAGACUCCUACGGGAGGCAGCAGUGGGGAAUAUUGGACAAUGGGGGGAACCCUGAUCCAGCCAUGCCGCGUGUGUGAAGAAGGCCUUUUGGUUGUAAAGCACUUUAAGCGAGGAGGAGGCUACCGAGAUUAAUACUCUUGGAUAGUGGACGUUACUCGCAGAAUAAGAACCGGCUAACUCUGUGCCAGCCGCCGCGGUAA